UCCCUGGUAGUCCAGUGGCUAAGACUCUGCACUCCCAAUGCAGGGGGCCCGGGUUCAAUUCCUGGUCAGGGAA
rnacentral:tRNA from 1 species